UUACAGCAGAAAUUCUUAACUGAAUUGGAGAUAUACAUUUUCGUUGGCUUAUUGUCUAUUAGACUGCUAAAAUUCAGCACACUACUCCAUUCCUGGGCACCAAAAGUAAGCAAAUCUCUGCUCCUCUUCCUUUAUUUUUGAUCCAGAUGGGUGGCACUACUGUCCAUCUUAAACUGCUCACACCUGAAAUCUGAAGCCUUCUUAGAUGACUUUUCCUUGCUUGGCCCUCCGCAUUCAGGAAAAUUGAUUUUACUUCCUAGACACGCCUUCAGUCUGCCUCUCCUUUACAUUGCCACAGCCACUGCCUUGGAUCAGCCCUCCACCUUCAUUUCCGGUACUGAUGCAAUGGCCUCCUGAUUGUUCUCCUACUUCUGGGCUCACUCUCUGCUCUUCGCCCUCCACACCAGUGUCUGGGCGAUCUAUUUAUAAAGUAACCCUCGACAGCGUCAUUCCUCUGCAAUACUCAUGGCCUCGAGGAAAAAAAGUCCGAGCUCUCAAGUGUGGUGGGCAGCGUACUUCAUGGUCUGACUCUACCUGUUCUUCGGACUCUGUUCCUUCCUGAAUUUCCUGGGGCAGGCUUUCUUAGGCACCUGGAAUGUCACAUCUCUGCCUGUGCCUGAAAUACCCUUCUCUCGUCUGCCUAGGCGCUGUCUCUAUUCUAAAGGCCCUCUUUUAUUUGGAGCUUCUCCCUCUUCUACUCCCAUCUUCACCCCCCAGCUGAGUUAAGUGCUUCUUUCUUUCUGUACCAUAAUCGCUUGACAUCUCAGCAGCACUGCCAGUCACGCCAUUUUAUACCGCUCUAUUUUCUUGUUCAAGAUCAUGUGGACUUUUUAUGCGCAUAAGUUUUACUUUAACACUUACAAAUGGCUUUCCCAACGCUAUUUCCUUUGAUCUUCAUGGUACUCCUUUUGUCCUUGAAUUGUGUAUAAAACCCUAAAAACUAACAACAACAACAACAACAACAACAACGAGUCUGAAACAAAGUUUAUACGUUAACACUUUAUUUGGAGUGGAAUUCCAGGGCAGCAAGAGUGAAGGAAGAAGGAAGGAGGGAAUUCAAGCAGGGAGGGAGGGUAGGCAAACAUAAGGUGGCAUCUUUCUUAUCCUGCAGAUCACUAUUUCACAAAGACACAGCCAAGCCCAUCAUACAAGGCAUCUCCUGAGAGGCUGCAUAGAUCCAUUGAGACCCAGAACAGACCAUUAGGUUUGGAAAGGUGGAAAAACCUCCAGGGUGUUAUUUGCCUCCCCACCCGCCCCCGUCGCCCACUUUUCCCCGGCAGCUGCUGGGGAAGCCAACAGCUGGGUCCGGUCGGGUAGAACUUGGGCGCCUAAGCAGCCAAGGCUCCUGCUGGGGCAGAAACAACGCAGCUGUGUGGAAGCUCAGCGAGUGGCAUGAGGAGAGGAAGCAACUGCAGUGGCAGGGGGCUGUCACUUUGGCAAGCUGCCAAGAGGCCAGGGCAGGUUCAUCAGAGGCUGGACUGUCCCCAUUUUCAGU
rnacentral:lncRNA from 1 species